rnacentral:lncRNA from 1 species
GUGUCUCAGAGGCCUCCCUCCCCCCACAAGCCGGGUGGACAUCGCUGAGGCUUGGAAAAGAUUUCCUCCGGGGAAAAUCCCUCCGGAGUUCUCCAGUCUGGUGUCAGAGAGGAAUACUAAAGAAGAAGGAGAAAUUCAAGGUACAAGAGAGGCAAAGAAUGUUGCUCCUACAAAGGAACUCUCCUGACAGAAGUCCACAGAGGACAGAUGGAUGGGGAUGAUUUCCACACUAGUUCCUAACUUUAAAUAAAACCAAGCCUGCAGCGUAGUUUCCUGAGUCCUAAUGGAAGGAUUUGAUGAAGACAUCCCAUUUAGGAGUGAGUACUCCAAAGUCUCUUUCUGCCCAUUGUACAAUUGUGGGUAUCUAUGUUGGUUCCUAUAUAGUUCAAGAAGUUUCUCCUAUGAUGAGCAAACAUCUGAUCUGUGAGUAUAGUGGUAUGUCAGGAAUAACUUUAUUGCAAUGUUUCUUUAGUAGAAGAACUGUGGAGAGCCGUGCCGUGAGCAAUCGCCAUUAUAAGAUGGCGCUGGCUUCCACUGCGCCUAACUAGUAAAUAAGCCUUAUGCGCAAGUGCAAGAGUGAACUCACGCCUAGUCACUGCCCAUCUCUCGGCGUAGUAAUGGGGUGAUGGGCGAGCAAAGAAUCAGGAGCUGCCACGCCACAUCAGGUGCUGAAACGUCAAGCUGCGGGCUAUAUAAGCAGCGCCAUUUUCCCGGUUCGGGGUCUUCCCUCCUGAUAAGUAAGCAAUAAAAGCUUUGCCGCAGAAGA